GUGUAUAUCUCAAAGUAUGAGAUGUAUUUUUUAUGAAAAAUAUGGGGUGUAGAAAAAUUGGAAAGAAGAAAGAACUCGUGCACGCGCAUGGUGAAGUCUCACGACUCCUCGCAUUUUGAUGAAUCCUUCUAUAGAUCAAAUUCAAUUGAAAAAAAAUGCCACCUAUUAGAUAGUGUUCCUCUUUUGAUCAGCUUUUAUAUGUAUA
rnacentral:lncRNA from 1 species